rnacentral:rRNA from 1 species
GACAGAGGGUGCAAACGUUGUUCGGAAUUACUGGGCGUAAAGCACGUGUAGGCAGCUUGGCAAGUCGGGUGUGAAAGCCCUGGGCUCAACCUAGGAAGUGCACUCGAAACUGCUUCGCUUGAGUAUCGGAGAGGAAAGCGGAAUUCUCGGUGUAGAGGUGAAAUUCGUAGAUAUCGAGAGGAACACCAGUGGCGAAGGCGGCUUUCUGGACGAUCACUGACGCUGAGACGCGAAAGCGUGGGGAGCAAACAGG